rnacentral:misc_RNA from 1 species
AAGAAUAGAUAAUAGAAUGGUCUUUUUGGCUGAAAUACUAAUUGGGUUCACCUAACUGGUACCUAUCUAGAAAAAAAGGUUCUUAUUAUCAUCUGCCUUUUAACAGGACUUGGCAGGAGAUGUCGUUGAUAACUUGAAGGAGUUUUUCCGAGCUAUGCAUCCAAAGAUAACCGAGGCGGAUAUUGACAAGUUUGAAGCUAGUUAUAGAGGAUCUGAGUCGGAGAGGACAGACUUGAUUGAUCUAUACAAGAAGUAUAAGGGUAAAAUGAAGAGGCUCUUUUGCUCCAUGAUUUGCUCCGAUGUCAAAUUAGAUUCACAUCGCUUCAAAGAUAUGCUGGAUGAAGCUAUAGCAGCAGGGGAAAUAAAGUCGACCAAAGCAUAUGAGAAAUGGGCAAAGGAAGUGUCUGAAACAAAACCGCCUACAAGCCCAUUGAAACGUAGACAAAAAUCAAAGAAAGAACCAGACGAUUUGUUUGCUAUUAUUUCUCAGCGACAAAAUGAACGGAGGGGCAAAAUGAAUUCUAUGUUCUCAUCUUUGGCUAGCAAAUACGGUGGGGAUCCAUCAGCUACAGAGCCAAGUGAGGAAGAAUUCGAAGCUGCUCGAAGAAGACUGGAGGGUAAAAGGCAAUCUAAGCGAAAGUAAAUUUUUAUAUAAUGCAAAACCUCUACACCAUGCUGCAAAAUGUUGUUUAUCCUGUGUUUUCUUGUACUUAGCCAUUAUGUAUUAGGUUUUGCUUCUUUGCUA